rnacentral:rRNA from 1 species
GUGAGGGAUAUUGGACAAUGGGCGGAAGCCUGAUCCAGCCAUGCCGCGUGAAGGAAUAAGGCCCUAUGGGUUGUAAACUUCUUUUGACGCAGAGCAAUAAGGGACACGCGUGUUCCGAUGAGAGUAUGCGUCGAAUAAGCAUCGGCUAACUCCGUGCCAGCAGCCGCGGUAAUACGGAGGAUGCGAGCGUUAUCCGGAUUUAUUGGGUUUAAAGGGUGCGUAGGCUGUCGGUUAAGUCAGCGGUGAAAUCAGCACGCUUAACGUGUUGUUUGCCGUUGAAACUGUCCGUCUUGAAUGCGCUCGUCGUGGGAGGAAUGUGUGGUGUAGCGGUGAAAUGCAUAGAUAUCACACAGAACACCGAUUGCGAAGGCAUCUCACGAGAGCGUUAUUGACGCUGAUGCACGAAAGCGCGGGUAUCGAACAGGAUUAGAAACCCCAGUAGUCC